UUGAAGGUUGGGUAACACUAACUGGAGGACCGAACCGACUAAUGUUGAAAAAUUAGCGGAUGACCUGUGGCUGGGGGUGAAAGGCCAAUCAAACCGGGAGAUAGCUGGUUCUCCCCGAAAGCUAUUUAGGUAGCGCCUCGUGAAUUCAUCUCCGGGGGUAGAGCACUGUUUCGGCCAGGGGGCCAUCCCGGCUUACCAAUCCGAUGCAAACUGCGAAUACCGGAGAAUGUUAUCACGGGAGACACACGGCGGGUGCUAACGUCCGUCGUGAAGAGGGAAACAACCCAGACCGCCAGCUAAGGUCCCAAAGUCAUGGUUAAGUGGGAAACGAUGUGGGAAGGCCCAGACAGCCAGGAUGUUGGCUUAGAAGCAGCCAUCAUUUAAAGAAAGCGUAAUAGCUCACUGGUCGAGUCGGCCUGCGCGGAAGAUGUAACGGGGCUAAACCAU
rnacentral:rRNA from 1 species